rnacentral:rRNA from 1 species
UUUAACUGAAGAGUUUGAUCAUGGCUCAGAUUGAACGCUGGCGGCAGGCUUAACACAUGCAAGUCGAGCGGGGGAAGG